CACGCCGGAGACAGCACGGUGCGGUGCAGCAGCUGGUGUUGUGAAUCAGGCCGUUGCCACUCCGAGAACGGCUACUUCACAACACCAGGGUCGCACCCCACCACGGGCAGCGCCGGAACCA
rnacentral:pre_miRNA from 14 species